AUGGGCACACAAAGUUACACGAGCACAUGGCACCCAAACGCAUGGACACAUGGUACACGGACACGGGGGCGCAUCACACAGUUACAUGAGCACAUGGCACAUCUGGUACAUGGCACAGUGGCAUACUGGUACACAGUACAUCCAACCUGGGCUGUUCUAUGGUUCUCUGACUCCAUAUGGAUACAUGGCACAACUGGCACACGGCACACCAACAACUCAUGCGCCAUGCAGACACCUCUCGCGUCCGACAGCUCUCAUGUCUCUGAGCCUGACUCGCCCCGUCCUCAUUUAUAUCAAAGCAUUACGCAAAUUAAAUUGUUUGCAAAGCACUGUCUGCGUGUCUGCUUUAUGCCUGCCUUGGGAAAACACGCUGCUGCCGAGGCUGUAAGGAUGUGCCAUUUUGUUGAGUUUUCCCCCUUAAUGCGUGUUCAAAGGCUGAGCCGGCCCCGCGCGCCCGCCAUCAGCGCUGUGCCUGCCGUGAGCAUCAAAGCACCGUCGGAUCCUGAGCCCGCCUGUAAGCACCUGACAGCAAACAGAGCGGGCCUGGCACAGCGUGGGGAGGGUGUCUGCUGCUCUCACGUGCUCCAGCUUCAGUCUGAAGGUUGCGUGUGGGUGCUGGGAGCUGGUGAUGGGGAGCGCGUGAGCAGGGUGGUUGUGCUAGGAGACAGCGCAGGUCAAGUCAUACAUCUGCCCAUGUGGCUUCUGCCACACUCUGGUUCAUGUCAUCCAGUUGGUCUUGUCACCCAUCAGCUCAUGCCACCAACCAGCUCAUGCCACCUCCUGGCUCACAUCACCUAUCUACUGGUGUCACCCUCUGGCUCAUGUCACAUUCUGGCUCUCAUCAGUCCCUGGCUCAUGUCACCCAUUGACUUGUGUUACCCGCUGGCUUGUGUCACCCAUUGGCUCAUGCCACCCCACUUUCAGCACUGCUCCUGUUGCUCCCAGUGCCAUCACAGCCAGAGGGCUCUGAGCAUCCCCGGCCAGAAAAGCAAACAAACCAAAUAA
rnacentral:lncRNA from 1 species